ensembl:lncRNA
AUUUCUCUCCCCAAAUUCAUGUAUCAACAGAGAAUUACAAGAAGGGAGAAAAGGUACUACCAGCUUCAUGUCACAGAAGAUGACACUGAAUCUCUAAUGGGCACAUACCUUUCUCAGGAUCACACUGUUAGCACGUGUUGGACAGAGCUGGACCCAAAUCAUGGGACUCUGCACGUUCCUUCCUGACUCACUGUGCCUCAGUCUUAUCAAGAAGGUGGGAAGAAGAAGAAGCAUCAGCAGCUCUAUUCAGGGAGCUGAAAGCCCUGGCAUCCUAGAAUGUCAUAAAUUUUAUUAGGAUUUAAAAGAAGUGGAUGUCUCCCAUCUGUCUCCUACUCCUACAUCCCCUCUCCUACUCCACUUUCACCCCAUUCCCACCACCUCCUGCAAGUGCCAUCAGCCAGGUAAAUUUCUUGACUAAUAUGAAAGAUGGGGAGCUGAAUUCUGGGUUUGGAACCCAGGUUCCAGGUAUGGAAAGUGACGAACAGUUCUCUCCAAGGCAAAAUAGAAAGGUGGAGGAAAUAAGGGCCUGAGAAUGAUGACUGAGUGUGCUGAGAUAAAAUCCCAGUGAGAAUGUGGUUUAAUAAACUGAGUCUCUCUUGCCAGCCAUGAUUCCUUAAGUACUGGCCCCUGGAGCCCUAGCCAUGCUAACUGGUUGGAACUGGGGAGGGCUAGGAUAAGGAAUGUGGAUUAGAAGCAGGUUUUUAAAGCCUGCUGAAGAGGAAAGCUCAAUGUCCGCUCUGAACAGAAUAGUUCCAAGUAUUUAUCAAAGUGCUGUGGCCAAUUUCUAAGAAGGUUAUCUUCAAAGCACCAGGCAGAAA